ACUGAGACAGACUGGUUUUGCGUAAUUAGACAAAUGCAAUUAAAUAAUUAAUUACUUAUACUUUUCUUGACGACAAAGAAGUUUUAAUCGGAUUUAAAAGAGUUGAAAAUGUAACGGUUUGUGAAUGAGUUGUUUCUGAAAUUUUAUGUGUGUGUUAAGAGUGAAACGUUAUGAGGGACAGGUACAUCUGACUACAUGGUAUAAGCUGAUACCAUCUAAUUGCCACCAGCCAUAACAGCCAAACUGUUCAUCGCCAGUGGAAAAGCGUUCUGUCUAGGGUUUUUCGAGGGGCGGCUGAAAAUUAGGAACAUGCACUAUCUUCAUCGCGUGAAGAGGGAUCCGGCGACAACUGUAGUGUUCGGUGAGAACCUGUGAGUACUGACGAGUACCGAGUGAGUACCGGGUGAGUACUGAGUGAGUACCAAAUGAGUACCGCGAGUACAAGUCGAGGGGACGCGAGCAUACUUCACGUCGCGAUAGACGGGGGUUUUUUGAACAUCUUCGA